UACAGAGGGUGCAAGCGUUAAUCGGAUUUACUGGGCGUAAAGCGUGCGUAGGCGGUUCAUUAAGUCGGUUGUGAAAUCCCUGGGCUUAACCUGGGAACUGCAGUCGAUACUGAUGGACUAGAGUGCGGUAGAGGGUGGCGGAACUCCGGGUGUAGCGGUGAAAUGCGCAGAUAUCAGGAGGAACACCAAUGGCGAAGGCAGCACUCUGGGCCGUGACUGACGCUGAGACGCGAAAGCGUGGGGAGCAAACAGG
rnacentral:rRNA from 1 species